rnacentral:rRNA from 1 species
UGCAGUCGAACGGUAACGCGGGGCAACCUGGCGACGAGUGGCGAACGGGUGAGUAAUAUAUCGGAACGUGCCCAGUAGUGGGGGAUAGCCCGGCGAAAGCCGGAUUAAUACCGCAUGAGACCUAAGGGUGAAAGCGGGGGAUCGCAAGACCUCGCGCUAUUGGAGCGGCCGAUAUCAGAUUAGGUAGUUGGUGGGGUAAAAGCCUACCAAGCCGACGAUCUGUAGCUGGUCUGAGAGGACGACCAGCCACACUGGGACUGAGACACGGCCCAGACUCCUACGGGAGGCAGCAGUGGGGAAUUUUGGACAAUGGGCGCAAGCCUGAUCCAGCCAUGCCGCGUGCGGGAAGAAGGCCCUCGGGUUGCAAACCGCUUUUGUCAGGGAAGAAAUCUUCUGGGCUAAUACCUCGGGAGGAUGACGGUACCUGAAGAAUAAGCACCGGCUAACUACGUGCCAGCAGCCGCGGUAAUACGUAGGGUGCGAGCGUUAAUCGGAAUUACUGGGCGUAAAGCGUGCGCAGGCGGUCUUGCAAGACAGGUGUGAAAUCCCCGGGCUUAACCUGGGAACUGCACUUGUGACUGCAAGGCUGGAGUACGGCAGA